CUUUGCAUGUCUUUUUUGCUAAAUUUCGUUAGGCAUGUUUGUUCGUGGGGAGAGAAGGUUGAAGGUUCCGGUGUCCUUGGGGUAUGAGACUAAAAGUGGUCGUGGGACAAAAGAUAUUAAAGGACCUAAAGGUGCUUCUGGUCAUAAGCUUAUCAUUGAUGUCACACUGGUUGCUGUCGACUUCUGAUGGCGGGAGGACAUUAGCACUUGGCACUUUCUUCGUCAUUGCGACAUGGAAUUUUGGACAUACUAUGGAAGGAAACAACAUACUACUGGCAUGAGGGCAGAAGAUUUGUGGUGCCCUUUUUGAGUCAUCCCAAAUUGACUAACAUGUUUUUGUGGUGCCCUUUUUGAGUCAUCCCAGAUUGACUAACAUGUAACAUGGAUUCUUUGAACAGAUUUACCAUUGAUGGCAUGUUAAUAUCUAUACUAGUCAAUAGUCAUACUCCUGUAGGAGCAACCUUCUUAGUUGGCAUAGUGGCAUUACUUUCAUAAUGUUGAAAGUGAUAUUUUUAUGUAUCAAAUUGCAUUGCAACUGUUGGCUCUUCCACCUUUUCUUCACUCCAUCCACCAUAUCAAUUUCCAGUGAUUGCAUGCAUACACGAUUUAUUGUUGAGACUUGAUAUUUUAAUUCUCCAUGUCAAAACACAUUUCUCUUUCAACUAUUUGGCAAUCCUUUCACAGCACAGCAGCUACUAACCAUGGGAUAAUGUUGUUUGAAAUUAUGUCCUAUGGCGAAAUGCUCUUUUAUCUUCUGGUUGGCAGUUAAA